GCAGAGUAGGUCUGUGUGCGUUAAGUGUCAGUUGGACGGGGAGUUGCCAGCUGAACGAAAAACAGGGAUUCCUGUUUGCGGUACACAGACCGCAUCCCGCUGC
rnacentral:ncRNA from 1 species